rnacentral:rRNA from 1 species
UACAGAGGUCUCAAGCGUUGUUCGGAUUCAUUGGGCGUAAAGGGUGCGUAGGUGGUGGGGUAAGUCGGAUGUGAAAUCCCGGGGCUCAACCCCGGAACUGCAUUCGAUACUGCCUUGCUCGAGUACUGGAGAGGAGACUGGAAUUUACGGUGUAGCAGUGAAAUGCGUAGAUAUCGUAAGGAAGACCAGUGGCGAAGGCGAGUCUCUGGACAGUUACUGACACUGAGAGACGAAAGCUAGGGGAGCGAAUGGG